rfam:Pan troglodytes isolate Yerkes chimp pedigree #C0471 (Clint) chromosome 2B, whole genome shotgun sequence.
UUUUCAGUAUAACUAUGUCCCAUGCAAUAUUUGGGACAUAUUUAUACUAAAA